rnacentral:rRNA from 1 species
ACGCAAUAGAUACCCCGGUAGUCCACGCCCUAAACGAUGUCUACUAGUUGUCGGGUCUUAAUUGACUUGGUAAACGCAGCUAAACGCGUGAAGUAGACCGCCUGGGGAGUACGGUCGCAAGAUUAAAACUCAAAGGAAUUGACGGGGACCCGCACAAGCGGUGGAUGAUGUGGAUUAAUUCGAUGCAACGCGAAAAACCUUACCUACCCUUGACAUGGAAGGAAUCCCUGAGAGAUUGGGGAGUGCUCGAAAGAGAACCUUUACACAGGUGCUGCAUGGCUGUCGUCAGCUCGUGUCGUGAGAUGUUGGGUUAAGUCCCGCAACGAGCGCAACCCUUGUCAUUAGUUGCUACGAAAGGGCACUCUAAUGAGACUGCCGGUGACAAACCGGAGGAAGGUGGGGAUGACGUCAAGUCCUCAUGGCCCUUAUGGGUAGGGCUUCACACGUCAUACAAU